AUACUUACCUGGACGGGGUCAAUGGGUGAUCAACAAGGCCCAUGGCCUAGGCUGGUGACCUCCAUUGCACUUGGGAGGGGUGCUAGCCUAAGGUCUGUCCAAGAGACAGAGCCUACGUCAUAAUUUGUGGUAGUGGGGGCCUGCGUUCGCGCGGCCCCUUU
rfam:Cajanus cajan CcLG02_901, whole genome shotgun sequence.